CCUACGGGCGGCAGCAGUGGGGAAUAGUGCACAAUGGGGGAAACCCUGAUGCAGCGACGCCGCGUGAGUGAAGAAGGAAUUCGGUAUGUAAAGCUCUAGCAGCAGGGAAGAAAAUGACGGUACCUGAGUAAGAAGCCCCGGCUAACGACGGGCCAGCAGCCGCGGUAAUACGUAGGGGGCAAGCGUUCUCCGGAUUGACUGGGGGUCAAGGGAGCGUAGACGGCAGUGCAAGUCUGGAGUGAAAGGCGGGGGCUCAACCCCCGGACUGCUCUGGAAACUGUCCGGCUGGAGUGCAGGAGAGUUCAGUGGCUUUCCUAGUGUAGCGGUGACAUGCGUCGAUAUUAGGAG
rnacentral:rRNA from 1 species